CCGGCAGUGGAAGCAAAAACAUCUGUGUACUCGAGUCCUCCUGAAGAGAAUCCUUGUCUUGGCCUGAGUAGAGAGAGCACUUGCAGAACUGGUAGCUGUUUCCUGUUGAUUGUGCUUCGUGAAAUCAGUUCCUAUACAUCUUCAACUGUGCGCUGUCUUUAUCUUGAACUGAAGCAAACAGGAAAGUUUCCCAUUAGAAUGCAACUCCGAUGGACUGGAUAGCUGUGUGCCCACCCUUGAAGCUGUAAGCAUCCUGGACACCCAUUCCAGAAGGAUGUUUUUGUCAGAUGGAGAUUCCACUUUAGGAAAAUAUUAAAACAAAGAUUUCAAAGGGGCUUCAGAAAAUGCUUAAAGGCCGUAGACCAAAUGCUGUUUUGCUGUCUGAAGAGAUCUCAGCAAAGGGGCAGUAGUUAAAGAGGAACGAUUACAUUGUAAAAAGCCAUAAAACCUUCCAGGAUUCAGAGUCUCAGGGGAAAGCAGAAAGGAACCCAAGACGAAGUCACACAUUGUGGAUCCAUAGAGCCCGACAUCACUAGACUGUGUUGCCAAGAUGGCAUGGCUCAGGCAUCACUACUGGAAGUGCUGGCACUUACCUCUGGGAAAUCAGUGGGACUCACUGUGGAGCAAAGCAUUGUCAGCAAGUGCUGCUUCACAGAUCUGCCUGUUUGAGUUAUAGAAGGAUGCCAGGACCACGCUGUCCUUCAUUACGUGAUGGAGACUCGGUUGCUCUUACAGAAACUCUGAAUCCUGCUGGCUGCUGUAAAGAAAUGAGAAGGAAGUUUCAGUCUUCCAGUUGGAGAGGAGUGACACAGAUGUUUAAGACGCAAGCAGCUUAGAUGUAACACAUUGUAAUAAAGUGUUGCCGUGCUAGGCAAAUGUAUGAGAAUGAUGAAUUCAGUAGUACGCGAGAAGAGGUCAGAUGCUGCAUUGAGUAUCUUCCGUGAGCGAGGAAAUGCUGAACUUCAGCUCAGUAUAUCACUGCUGAAGCUGUGCCCGGCCAUGGGAGAUGACAAGCAGUUGCUACCAGCCAAGCUUUAAAUUAGGAGAGAAGAACCUUUUUCAUUACAUUCCAAAGAAUUGUGAAAGAUGUGGAAAUCACUGCUUGGAAAACUGUACUUCUACAGGGAGCUGAGUGAAGUCCUACUGAUUCUCACUGCAAUGAAGUACUCAGGACACUUUUUUUGAGCCCACCACUACAGUCAUCACAAAGACAACACUUAGUCCAAGAAGAUUCUAGGCCUUCUUCAGAAGUUUAUCUACACUGUACGAGAAAGCUUCUUCAGACCCAGGCGGUUUCUGCUUUAUUUCAUGAUCAAGUGCUGCCUGCAAACUCUGGAAGUGAAGCCAUG
rnacentral:lncRNA from 1 species